rnacentral:rRNA from 1 species
CUGUCCUACGGGGCGCAGCAGUGAGGAAUAUUGGUCAAUGGUCGGGAGACUGAACCAGCCAAGCCGCGUGAGGGAUGAAGGUACAGAGUAUCGUAAACCUCUUUUGUCAGGGAACAAAGGCGGGGACGUGUCCCCGGAUGAGUGUACCUGAAGAAAAAGCAUCGGCUAACUCCGUGCCAGCAGCCGCGGUAAUACGGAGGAUGCGAGCGUUAUCCGGAUUUAUUGGGUUUAAAGGGUGCGCAGGCGGCCUGUUAAGUCAGCGGUAAAAACCCGGGGCUCAACCCCGGCGAGCCGUUGAAACUGGG